rnacentral:lncRNA from 1 species
CAAUCACUUAUCUUUAUGCAUUUUGAUCUGAAGAUGAUGAUUCAGUUGAUGAUAUAUUAAAAAUUAUUUUCUAAUUAUCACUCUAUUUUGGCCAAAGACUUCUAGAAUCACCGUCCUAUGAGAUCACAUAGGAUGUUCGCUCUCCUUAUUAGGAGUAACUAGUCUCUUAUUGAUCACUCACAACCUCCAUACAUACUUCACCAU